UGGGGAAUAUUGGACAAUGGGGGAAACCCUGAUCCAGCAAUGCCGCGUGAGUGAAGAAGGCCUUAGGGUUGUAAAGCUCUUUCGCCCGCGAAGAUAAUGACGGUAGCGGGCGAAGAAGCCCCGGCUAACUCCGUGCCAGCAGCCGCGGUAAUACGGAGGGGGCUAGCGUUGUUCGGAAUUACUGGGCGUAAAGCGUCCGUAGGCGGAUGCGCAAGUUGGGGGUGAAAUCCCGGGGCUUAACCUCGGAAUUGCCCUCAAAACUGCACGUCUUGAGACCGAGAGAGGUAAGGGGAGUUCCUAGUGUAGAGGUGAAAUUCGUAGAUAUUAGGAAGAACACCAGUGGCGAAGG
rnacentral:rRNA from 1 species